AUUGAACGCUGGCGGCAGGCCUAACACAUGCAAGUCGAACGAGUGGCGGACGUGUGAGUAAUUUCUGGGAAACUGCCUGAUGGAGGGGGAUAACUACUGGAAACGGUGGCUAAUACCGCAUACCAUCGGAUGUGCCCAGAUGGGCUUGGCUAGUAGGUGGGGUAAAGGCUUACCUCGGCGACGGUCCCUAGCUGGUCUGAGAGGAUGACCGUCCACACUGGAACUGAGCCACGGUGCAGGUUCCUGCGGAGGGCAGCAGUGGGGAAUCUUGCACAAUGGGCGCAAGUCUGAAGCAGACAUGCAGCGUGUAUGAAGAAGGUCUUCGGGUUGUAAAGUACUUUCAGCGGGGAGGCGUUACCCGCAGAAGCAGCACCGGCUAACUCCGUGCCAGCAGCCGCGGUAAUUC
rnacentral:rRNA from 1 species